CUAUGCUCUUAGGAGCACAGAGCCCUCCGUGCUCCUGAGCCAUUUUCAAUGAUGGAACUCCUGAAUCGACAAUUGGCUCCGUUAGACAUGAUCUAGCGUAUUUGAAGUUUUUAGAAAAUAAUUUUUGCGAUUUUUCGAUAUCAUUUUCCUACCAAUCGAAAGGAUUCAAAAUUAAUAAUUUUUAACGGCUGGAAAUAAAAAUCCUAUAAAAAGUGGUGAUAUAGCACUAAAAUUUUCGAUCAGAAAUAUUGAUCUUGUUGUAAAUAGUAUAAAAAAUUUUCUAUCAAAAUUUUAUCUGAUUUGAAUACUUCUACACCGUUAAAGUUGAAAACGGCAGAUAUCAACCAUUAAAAUUUAUUAAUUUUGAAUCCUUUCGAUCACUAGGUAAAUGAUAUUAAAAAAUCGCAAAAUAUAUUUUCUAGAAACUUCAAAUACGUUAGAUCAAGUCUAACGGAGUUGAUCGUCGAUUCGAAAAUUCCAUCAUCGAAAAAGGCUCAGAAGCACGAAGGCCGCCGUGCUCCUGAGAGCACAGCAGCCCUGCUCUUCUCUUUAAAAUGUUGAUAAGAAUAAUUCCGACGCUUGUAAAACCGUCAAGUAAAAAAUCGUUAAGUAAAUAUAUCGGGAUAAAUAUACCGACGUUUUAUAAAGUUUCGAAAAAUUUUAAUUAAUCAGUAUUUGAUAAAAAUGUAUUUAUUGGCAACGUUUAAUCAUAAUAUCGGCACAUCCCAAAUAUUGAUGACGCUAGACUAAAAUACCGUCUAAACAUAUUUUGUUGUCGUGUUCUAAAUUAUUUGCAUAGCCAUUUUAAUUUCUUUUCCCCCUUUGCGGUAGCAAAAUGCGAAAAGGAAUUUUGAAUAACAUGUAUGAAAUAGCUUAAAAUUUCUCUAAUUAUUUUACUAAGUUGCAUGCAGUUUAUUCAUAAGUUACUUUUUAUCUUUAUUUUUGUACGCGCUAUUUGUAUAUUAUAAAUAAGGCCAAUUUGCAUAAAAAAUUCAUUAGUUUUGCGGUUUUACAAAACUGUGCCACCUUUUUCGAUUUUGCAAAUUCGAACCGAAUUUUUAAAAAACUGACCAAAAUACCCUUAUACCUUUUUCUCUCUCCUCUUUUUUUUCUAGCGUUCUUUUUUUUUCUCUCCCUAGAAGCGUGUUCGCCUCC
rnacentral:lncRNA from 1 species